rnacentral:sRNA from 1 species
AGAAGCUCCUUCAGCUCAAAAAUUUUAACACCCUGAUGGCAGUGGUGGGAGGCCUCAGUCAUAGUUCCAUUUCACGCCUCAAAGAGACCCAUUCUCAUCUUUCUUCAGAAGUUACAAAGAACUGGAAUGAAAUGACAGAGUUGGUCUCCUCCAACGGCAAUUACUGCAAUUACCGCAAGGCCUUUGCCGACUGCGAUGGCUUCAAAAUCCCCAUCCUUGGAGUACACUUGAAAGACUUGAUAGCAGUCCAUGUCAUUUUCCCAGACUGGACAGAGGAGAAUAAAGUGAACAUUGUGAAAAUGCACCAGCUCUCCGUUACCCUGAGUGAACUAGUCUCCCUGCAGAAUGCCUCUCACCACUUAGAACCCAACAUGGAUUUGAUCAACCUGCUCACGGGAAUAUCUGGAGAGGACAUUUCCCUUACAUCUCAAUUCACGUAACCAGGAGUUUUAAAAGCCGACGCUUCUGUUGCUUGGG